GGGGCCGAUUUGGCUUUGACAGCAAGAUGAAUGGUUAUGUAAGCAUGCCGAGCUUUUGUUUUGUUGGCUCGCAAAUCUCAGCAACUCAGCCUAUAAAUGGCAACACUUCUUACGCGCUUGCUGCGUAAUUGAGUCCAAGACCAAUUACCUUAAUCUAGCCCACUAGGUGGGCAGACAAGCUGCUCCUCUGAAAGGUUGGCUUUUGACCUUCAGUUUCGGGGCAUGGUGAAUAAAAGCUAGCGGUGGCCAAGCCUGGCAGUCAACGCGAAACUUAACAGGCUAAGUCAGUCAGAUGGUCGUCUUCUACCAAUGAAUGAUCGAAAACCAAUAGAAGAAUAAGCAUGUAGAAAGCUUAAUGAUUCCUUGUUUGGACGGGGGUUCGACUCCCCUCGGCUCCACAA
rnacentral:tmRNA from 1 species